CUUCUCUCAGCUCUGCUGGAUCACACAAACAACAGUGUGUGCUUGGCGUAUUUUUGGGAGAGAGAGGAAGGCCCUCCUAAUGCACGACAGACCUGCCCCAAAGUGGCCUCUCUGUUCCUAGGGUGCAACAGUU
ensembl:snoRNA